rnacentral:pre_miRNA from 1 species
UUAGCAGAUGCAAAUUGGAUAACUGGACAGGUAAUCUGCCGUAGAAACUAUAUUACCUGUCCAGUUAUCCAAUUUGCAUCGGCUGGA